rnacentral:rRNA from 1 species
UACGGAGGGUGCAAGCGUUAUCCGGAUUCACUGGGUUUAAAGGGUGCGUAGGUGGGUUGAUAAGUCAGUGGUGAAAUCCCCGAGCUUAACUUGGGAACUGCCAUUGAUACUAUUGAUCUUGAAUACCGUGGAGGUCAGCGGAAUAUGUCAUGUAGCGGUGAAAUGCUUAGAUAUGACAUAGAACACCAAUUGCGAAGGCAGCUUACUACACAGUUAUUGACGCUGAGGCACGAAAGCGUGGGGAUCAAACAGG